rnacentral:piRNA from 1 species
CACCAGGGAGUGGCGCUGUUGGAGGAAGU